GAGCGAUGGUUGGAAUCCAACUG
rnacentral:miRNA from 1 species